rnacentral:tRNA from 1 species
GGUGUUGUGGCUCAGUGGUAGAGCAUUCACCUAGCAUGUGUGAGGUACUGGGUUCGAUCCUCAGCACCA